UAAGGUAGCAUAAUAAUUUGCCUUUUGAAUGGAGGAUGGAAUGAACGGUUAGACGUAAAUUAGCUGUCUCAAUUUUACUUAUUUGAAAUUAAUUUCUAAGUGAAAAAGCUUAGAUGAACUAAAAAGACAAGAAGACCCUGUCGAAUUUUAAAAUAGUUGUUUAUUAUAAAAUAAAAGUUUUUUGGUUGGGGCAACUGAAAAGGCAAUUAAUCCUUUUUAUACUAUAAAUUUUGUUAGAAUUUUAACCAAAAAUUUUGAAAAUAAAAUGAAUUACCGCAGGGAUAACAGCAUUAUUUUCUUUUAGAGUUCUUAUUUAAAAGGAAGAUUGUGACCUCGAUGUUGGACUAAGGUACCUUCUUUUGGCGCAAAAGCUUAUGGGAGUUAGACUGUUCGUCUAUUAAAAUCUUACAU
rnacentral:rRNA from 1 species